AAAUAAAGGGGGUCUUCUUCUUCUUCGUAGUGCAGCAGCCCUCCACCUUCUUCUUCUUCCUCACAAACUCCCGCUGUACAACCCCAUCUCUUCCAUCCUUCUUCUCUAAUCAUGCGCCACCCAUCUUAGAUCUUUAUAGUCGACACCGAUCGCCCUCACAAGCCGUCACAUUUCUGCCAGCCGUCGUCCAACCUUCAUUGCGUCUCCCCAUCCUUGAAGCCCAAUCGUCCGUCCGCAACAUUGAAGUCGUUGCUAUUCGACCAGCCUUCUCCGUCGCAUGCAAAUCCCAGCCGUACGCCGCCACAUCCCUCCUCCGUGUUUAGUAAAAGAUUCAUUAUUUUUCUUUAUCUUACCAGGAAUGAGUUGGAUGAGCAAACCCCUCUGACGGGCUUGCCUUGUUUCACAUUUUCCCUUUCAAUUCAUGUCAAGGAGUAGGAAGAAAUUUUCCAUCCUUUUGUAUGAGCCAUCUCGAUCCAACUUCGGUAUUUCUUCUCAUACCUAAUUUGUUAGUCUCAAUGUAUAUGAGAACUUCACAUAACAAGUAGCCAUAGGUAUGCUGCAAAACCCGUGUUCUCACUUUGUGUUCCACUUAAUUAUAUCCAGUGUUUCUUCCUACAAAAAUGUGGUCAAUUUUUGGAUGUUGUAAUGCUUCAUUCAAUGUUGUUAAUUAUGUUACUCAUGUUUGAAUGAUCUUUUUGUUUUGUGGUUCUUUUUUCAGUGCAUUAUCAUUGACUAUUUAACAGGACUGAUCGAAUCUUUGUUGCCUUAUGGUGCUUGGUCUUGAAUAAAUUCUUUUUCAAGAAGUUGUUCAAGGGAAGGGUUGAGAAAGGUGAAAAAUUAAUUAUGGAAGAUCUAUUCCUUAGUCAAACUUUAAGUUUUGUAAUAUGUAUUUUCUACUUGAUUUGGGCUGAGGAAAUGAGUGCUUUUGUCUUACUUAAAAGAGGUAUGAAGGUGGCUGGGACAUUGCCAAUCGAAAUUACUAGGCUGUAAGUUUUGUUAACAUAAUUUUGUUUUACUAUUUAUGAUUGGCAUACUUUUUCGAAUUCUGCUAUUCAAUACAAUUUCUUGUAAUUAGUUUUUGUUGUAUGCUAGGAAGAUAUAUCAUUUGGAGUGGUUAGAAAAUCUUUGGAGCGUCGUAAUACAGUGUGCAUUGAAAUACAACGUAUAACUUUGCCCUAAAUUUAUGUUAUUGGGUUUUAGCGUUUUAGUUGAAUUUAAUUAGGUUUUUGGAUUCAUGGGUUUGGAUAGAAUGCUUCUUGGGGUAAUGGGACAUUCCUUCAUGUAUUCUUUAUAUUCCUUCCUCUAAUGAUUGAUGAUAUUUCUUCUAUAUAAGAAGAUUGUGAAGAAGCACGCUCACCAUUUGUGAAGAAGUACAAGACUGUCAUACACUCUGGUGAGGUUGACAAAGGUCUUAACAAGGCAAAAGGGAAUCUUAUGGCAUUCUAUAAGAUAUGUACUCAAUCAUGUUAUGGUUGAAUAGGCAAAUGAUUUUAUUUUUACCCAUAAGUUGUUUCAUUUCAUGUUUUGGUUUUUAGGCACAGUAUAAUAUUGAUCAAGCAUUGCAAAAAGAUACUUCCUUUAGAAGAUGGGUGGGUUAUGAGAUCAUGUUAUUUUUAGUUGUUUUUAGUAUGCACAUUUGAUCAUGAAGUGUUUUGAAGUGUGUAUGUAAUUUAGCUUAGUUUGUGGGCUGAAUUUAGCUAAGUUUAGAAGUUAUUAUUCUUGAAGUGUGUGUGUACUGUUCUAUGUUGUUGAAGUGUGUUGUUCAUCAUGAAGUGAAUGUGAUGUGUUUAUGUGGGUGAAUAUGUUGUCUUGUUGAAUCAUUUUUUUUUCCUUUUCUUUUCUUAUUAGGUUUUGCCACAAUCCAUUAAAGCAAUGAAGAUAUAUUUACGCCAAUUAGUUGAUGUAUAGACUUUUUUGUAGGUUUGGUAGAAUUUUUUUUGUUUAAAUGUAGUUAUUUAAAUAGUUUGUUCGUACCAAAACACAUUUGUACCAACAAUUAAAGCAACAUUACAAAGUGUGUUUCUUUCUAUUAAAGCGUUCACCAUUUU